rnacentral:rRNA from 1 species
CCUACGGGUGGCAGCAGUAGGGAAUAUUGCACAAUGGGGGAAACCCUGAAGCAGCAACGCCGCGUGGAGGAUGAAGGUUUUCGGAGUGUAAACUCCUGUUGUUAGAGAAGAAAAUGACGGUAACUAACGAAUAAGCACCGGCUAACUCCGUGCCAGCAGCCGCGGUAUACGGAGGGGGCAAGCGGUACUCGGAACCACUGGGCGGAAAGAGCUCGUAGGCGGGAUAGGAAGUCCGAUGUGAAAUCCUAUGGCUUAACCCUAGAACUGCAUUUGAAACUUUUAUUCUAGAGUAUGGGAGAGGUAGGUGGAAUUCUUGGUGUAGCGGUCAAAUCCGUAGACAUCAAGAGGAAUACUCAUUGCGAAGGCGACCUGCUAGAUCAUAACUGCCGCUGAUGCGCGAAAGCGUGGGGAGCAAACCGGAUUCGAUACCCUGGUAGUC